CUACACAUGCAAGUCGAGCGGAGAUAAAGGAAGAGCUUGCUCAAAUUUAUCUUAGCGGCGGACGGGUGAGUAACGCGUGGGCAACCUGCCCUGUACAGAGGGAUAACAACGGGAAACUGUUGCUAAUACCUCAUAAAACCUAAUGAAGGCAUCUUUAAUAGGUCAAAGAAAUUCGGUACAGGAUGGGCCCGCGUCUGAUUAGCUAGUUGGUAGGGUAAAGGCUUACCAAGGCGAUGAUCAGUAGCCGACCUGAGAGGGUGAUCGGCCACACUGGAACUGAGACACGGUCCAGACUCCUACGGGAGGCAGCAGUGGGGAAUAUUGCACAAUGGGGGAAACCCUGAUGCAGCAACGCCGCGUGAGCGAAGAAGGCUUUCGGGUCGUAAAGCUCUGUCCUAAGGGAAGAUAAUGACGGUACCUUAGGAGGAAGCCCCGGCUAACUACGUGCCAGCAGCCGCGGUAAUACGUAGGGGGCAAGCGUUAUCCGGAAUUACUGGGCGUAAAGGGUGCGUAGGCGGCCUAACAAGUCAGAGGUGAAAGGCUACGGCUCAACCGUAGUAAGCCUUUGAAACUGUUAGGCUUGAGUGUGGGAGAGGAAAGUGGAAUUCCUAGUGUAGCGGUGAAAUGCGUAGAUAUUAGGAGGAACACCAGUGGCGAAGGCGACUUUCUGGACCAUAACUGACGCUGAGGCACGAAAGCGUGGGGAGCAAACAGGAUUAGAUACCCUGG
rnacentral:rRNA from 1 species